UCCACAUCAGCACAUGGUGAGACAGGGUAGC
rnacentral:piRNA from 1 species